rnacentral:rRNA from 1 species
GUGGGGAAUAUUCCGCAAUGGACGAAAGUCUGACGGAGCAACGCCGCGUGAGUGAUGAAGGUUUUCGGACUGUAAAGCUCUGUUGUUUAGGACGAAAGUGCCUGUUGCGAACAGUUACAGGUAUUGACGGUACUAAACGAGGAAGCCACGGCUAACUACGUGCCAGCAGCCGCGGUAAUACGUAGGUGGCAAGCGUUGUCCGGAAUUAUUGGGCGUAAAGAGCAUGUAGGCGGAGAUUUAAGUCUGUUGUGAAAAUGCGGGGCUCAACCCCGUAUUGGGAUGGAAACUGAAUUUCUUGAGUGCAGGAGAGGAAAGGGGAAUUCCCAGUGUAGCGGUGAAAUGCGUAGAUAUUGGGAGGAACACCAGUGGCGAAGGCGCCUUUCUGGACUGUGUCUGACGCUGAGAUGCGAAAGCCAGGGUAGCGAACGGGAUUAGAAACCCCAGUAGUCC